rnacentral:rRNA from 1 species
UACGAAGGGGGCGAGCGUUGUUCGGAUUUACUGGGCGUAAAGGGCGCGCAGGCGGUUCUGUUUGUCGAGUGUGAAAGCCCCGGGCUCAACCUGGGAACUGCGCUCGAAACGGCGGAACUAGAGUUCGGGAGAGGAGAGUGGAAUUCCUGGUGUAGCGGUGAAAUGCGUAGAUAUCAGGAGGAACACCUGUGGUGUAGACGGCUUUCUGGACCGUAGCUGACGCUGAGACACGAAAGCGUGGGUAGCAAACAGG